rnacentral:rRNA from 1 species
ACGAACGCUGGCGGCAGGCCUCACACAUGCAAGUCGAGCGGACCUUUCGGGGUCAGCGGCGGACGGGUGAGUAACGCGUGGGAAUAUGCCCUUCUCUACGGAAUAGUCCUGGGAAACUGGGGGUAAUACCGUAUACGCCCUUUGGGGGAAAGAUUUAUCGGGGAAGGAUUAGCCCGCGUUGGAUUAGGUAGUUGGUGGGGUAAUGGCCUACCAAGCCGACGAUCCAUAGCUGGUUUGAGAGGAUGAUCAGCCACACUGGGACUGAGACACGGCCCAGACUCCUACGGGAGGCAGCAGUGGGGAAUCUUAGACAAUGGGGGCAACCCUGAUCUAGCCAUGCCGCGUGAGUGAUGAAGGCCUUAGGGUUGUAAAGCUCUUUCAGCUGGGAAGAUAAUGACGGUACCAGCAGAAGAAGCCCCGGCUAACUCCGUG